rnacentral:lncRNA from 1 species
GGUUGGUGGCUGGUCAGUGAGUAGUAAAUUUCACCAGUCAUGGUUGGCCGCAAUUCAUAGAGGCAGCACUUAGAAGAAGCAAGCCGGCAGAUCUGGUGACGAAAAAAGAGAAAAACAGCGAUAGAGUUGGUUCGUCGGUGAUGGACGUAUUACCCAGUAGAAAUUCCGACGAAAAUGAAUUGUUUCUCACCAGAUUUUCGAUUAGAACAAACAAAAGAAGUCUCAGAAUUUUGGGGGCUGUGAACGGUCGGAUUCCGCGAGGAAUUCCAAUGAUGGGUGAGUUGUUUCCGGCGAGGGGUACGGUUUGGAUGAUUUUUUGGCGCUUUUGCCGGCGGCAAUGGUCGGUUGAUGACGAGAAAAAGGGAGGGGGAAGGCGGCGGCGGCUCGGUGUCUGCUAAUGGUUGGAGAGUUUUUCGCCACCAAAAAAAGAUCGCCGAAACAGUGACGAGAUGCAUUUUUUUUUACUGGUG